rnacentral:rRNA from 1 species
UUUAAAUGUAAAUUUAUUUBUGGAUUAGUAUUAGUUAUGUUCUUGAAAAUUAAAGAUUUUGGCGGUAUUUUAGUCUGUUCAGAGGAACCUGUUCUGUAAUCGAUAAUCCACGAUUAAAUUUACUUAUUUUUGUAGUUUGUAUAUCGUUGUAGUUUGAAUAUUUUAUAAGAAAACAAUAUUCAAAAUUUUUUUAGAAAAAAAUAUCAAAUCAAGGUGCAGUUUAUAGAUAAGGAGUAAUGGGUUACAAUAAAUAUAUUUAAAUGGAUUAUGAAUUUAAAAUUUGAAUGAAAGUGGAUUUGAAAGUAAUUUUAUUUAUUUAAUUAAAAUGAUUUUAGCUCUAAAAUAUGU